rnacentral:rRNA from 1 species
UUGUUGGUGAGGUAACGGCUCACCAAGGCUUCGACGGGUAGCUGGUCUGAGAGGACGAUCAGCCACACUGGGACUGAGACACGGCCCAGACUCCUACGGGAGGCAGCAGUGGGGAAUCUUGCACAAUGGGCGAAAGCCUGAUGCAGCAACGCCGCGUGAGGGACGAAGGCUUUCUGAGUUGUAAACCUCUUUCAGCAGGGACGAUUGUGACGGUACCUGCAGAAGAAGCCCCGGCCAACUACGUGCCAGCAGCCGCGGUAAUACGUAGGGGGCAAGCGUUGUCCGGAUUUAUUGGGCGUAAAGAGCUCGUAGGCGGCUUGGCAAGUCGGAUGUGAAACCUCCAGGCUCAACCUGGAGUCGCCAUUCGAUACUGCCAUGGCUAGAGUUUGGUAGGGGACCACGGAAUUCCUGGUGUAGCGGUGAAAUGCGCAGAUAUCAGGAGGAACACCAGCGGCGAAGGCGGUGGUCUGGGCCAAUACUGACGCUGAGGAGCGAAAGCGUGGGGAGCGAACAGGAUUAGAUACCCUGGUAGUCCACGCCGUAAACGUUGGGCACUAGGUGUGGGGACCUAUCGACGGUUUCUGUGCCGCAGCUAACGCAUUAAGUG